CAAGAAACGAGGCGCGUGCGCUCGCCCGCCCGGCCCCGCUCCUUACCUUGCCUACUGCAACCGUUUGUUGCUUCCUGGCGGCGGACUGCCCGCCGCCAGGGACGUUGAUACAACCCUGUAUAGAAGCAUUGAAGCUCUGAGAAAAUGCGAAAUCGUA
rnacentral:misc_RNA from 1 species